UACGUAGGGUCCAAGCGUUAUCCGGAAUUACUGGGCGUAAAGCGUGUGUAGGCGGAUGUUUAAGUGCAACGCGAAAUUCUCCCGCUCAACGGGAUGAACUGUGUUGCAUACUGGGCAUCUAGAGGAUGGCAGAGGCAAGUGGAAUUUGUAGUGUAGCAGUGAAAUGCGUAGAUAUUACAAGGAACACCAAUGGCGAAGGCAGCUUGGCUGGGCCAUAUCUGACGCUGAGACACGAAAGCGUGGGGA
rnacentral:rRNA from 1 species